rnacentral:rRNA from 1 species
AUUGAACGCUGGCGGCAUGCCUUACACAUGCAAGUCGAACGGCAGCACGGGAGCAAUCCUGGUGGCGAGUGGCGAACGGGUGAGUAAUAUAUCGGAACGUGCCCAGUCGUGGGGAUAACGUAGCGAAAGCUACGCUAAUACCGCAUACGAUCUAUGGAUGAAAGCGGGGGAUCGCAAGACCUCGCGCGAUUGGAGCGGCCGAUAUCAGAUUAGGUAGUUGGUGAGGUAAAGGCUCGCCAAGCCGACGAUCUGUAGCUGGUCUGAGAGGACGACCAGCACACUGGGACUGAGACACGGCCCAGACUCCUACGGGAGGCAGCAGUGGGGAAUUUUGGACAAUGGGCGCAAGCCUGAUCCAGCAAUGCCGCGUGCAGGAUGAAGGCCU